GUUUUCCUACGGGGCGCAGCAGUGGGGAAUAUUGGGCAAUGGACGCAAGUCUGACCCAGCAACGCCGCGUGAAGGAAGAAGGCUUUCGGGUUGUAAACUUCUUUUAAGGGGGAAGAGGAGAAGACGGUACCCCUUGAAUAAGCCACGGCUAACUACGUGCCAGCAGCCGCGGUAAUACGUAGGUGGCAAGCGUUGUCCGGAUUUACUGGUUGUAAAGGGCGUGCAGCCGGGCUGACAAGUCAGCUGUGAAUUCGGCGGCCUUAACC
rnacentral:rRNA from 1 species